GACGAACGCUGGCGGCGUGCUUAACACAUGCAAGUCGAACGGACAGGCCCUGCUUUUGUGGGGUGCUUGUGUGGCGCACGGGUGAGUAACACGUGAGUAUACCGCCCUUGUCUUUGGGAUAAAUUUUGGAAAAUGGGGAUAAUACCGGAUAGGAGCUCUUGCUGCAUGGUGGGGGUUGGAAAGUUUCGGCGGUUCGGGAUGGUCUCGCGGCGUAUCAGCUUGUUGGUGGGGUAGUGGCUUACCAAGGUUUUGACGGGAAGCCCGACUGAGAGGGUGACCGGCGACACAGGGACUGAGGGGCGGCCGAGGCACCGACGGGAGCGAGCAGUGGGGAAUAUUGCACGAUGAGCGGAGGCCUGGUGCUGCAACGCCGCGUACGGGAUAACGGCCUUAGUGUUGUAAACCACUUUCGCCAGUAACGAAGCGUGAGUGGAGGUAAUGUGUAAAGAAGGACCGGCUAAAUACGUG
rnacentral:rRNA from 1 species